UCAGCCAUCAAUGGGAUAGCCGUCACGUCAUAGUUGAAAAAGGACAAAACACUAGCUUGUGUAAUUGACAAUUAACAUGCCUGUAGUGCACUGAUAACACCAAAACAGCAUUCCCUACCUUUGUCCAUUCCCAUUGGGGGUUUCAACGCCUUUUUCCAUACACCAAAAAACUGCACCUUCUGGCAGAAGUCAUGCCAUCUUCCUUUCAGUUCAUCGAUGAAGUUGGUGUUAUCCUUAUCCAGAAUGCGUUGAAGCUCCUCCAUCACCUAUGAAAUAUAUAAAUAUACCAAUUCAGAUAUUCAGAUAUAUCGUCUUUGCCAUUGCUGUUAUUUCUGGCUUUGAUGGGUAUCGGUGUGAUUCUCCAUCCCCCUUUGCCCUCAGGAUUGAAAUCAUACUGGUCAUGGUGUUCCGAAUGAGCCGGCAUCUGAGCUCCUUCGACAUUUGGCAGUUGCGCUGUUCGCCUGUCUUCAGCAACUCAAAGUAGUGUUUUCUGACUUGCUCAAGUUCUGUGUCUGUGUGCAACACAUAUUCUGGCGAUGAUAACUUCACAACCUUUUCAGCAGUUGUGUACUUUGCAGGACUUGCUUUAGGAGUCGAUGUCUUUCGCAUGGGUGACGCAUUAAAGGAGGAACUGGCCGAUAAUGUUGAGUGUUCUUGUCCAGACUCCUGUAAAAUAAAAGAUAAUGAACUACUGCAAAGAGCAACAUUUUUGUUUUUUGUGACAACACAAAAUGCAAUGUAGCAUUGACAGCUCUGCUCACGUAUAAAUAAGCAAUGUUCCAUUUUAGGGGUGAAAUCGGUUACAUCAACUAACUGAACACCUAUCAAUUAAUCUAAACUGAAUUUAACACACAUGUAGACUGCCAUGCCUGUUCCAAAAACACUGUGCUGUUAGCUCAAUGUGCUGCUGCCAAUUUAAAUAGGUGGUUAGUUUAGUUUACUUAACUGACCUCCUCCGACGCACCAUGACAGGCCCGCCAGAGCGCUUUUCUCCGUAAAAAGUUCUCAGGGCCUGGGAAAAGAUCCCGCAAGUCUUCACGAGACAGGGUGCUCAUCAUUGUCUCUGUGAUGUUUGCAGCUAUGAAAAAAUUGGAAGACAAACAUAGCAAGAUGAAACGGUGCCCUAGAAGUGAAACUGCAAGAGGCUCUUAGAAGUUUACACUUCAUUCAAAUUAGGUAGCUAGUGCUAACCAGCUUAGUAUAGAAAUGUAGAUACCUCAUUGGCUGCUGUUGUAUGUCAUAUAGACGUUACUAGAAUAACUAGAGCUGCCAUCAACUAAGAAUUUUCCUAGUGACCAACAAUUGUCAUUUGUCGCCAUUAGUUGACUAGUCUUCACAGUUUAUGAAUUCAGCGGGAACAAAGUGGCGCGAAAAUUUACUUGGCUUUUGUCUGAACACAACAUAAUAUACAACAUUAUCCCCAAAGCGCAAUGGAGUUCCGACAGUAUUUUUUUGCUUCAAUUAGGCCUUUGCAUUACUCUGUUCAUAUAUGAUAAAUAAUAUUUGCAUACAUUACCCCGUAAAAUCGACACUGCGACAUCAUCCAAUUCUUCCAUGCCGUUAGCUGACUUAGAUUGUUAAUUAGCCCGCCUCGAUGUCUCUGUUCGGCUGCAACGAUACACAAUAAACACUGAAAACACAUUGAAACGUCGAGAACAUUCAAAGGGUGUGCGAUGUGAACUACAAAGAAUGAGCACUGGAUACAGCGCUUUAAUUUACUUGCAGUGAAACACGUCAAUCCAAGUUCAAACCCAAAUCGGUCUCAAAUAACGUUAGUUUACGCCAUGGUUUACGCCCCACGUUCUCAUUUGCAGCAGCUAGCUGGCGGGUGUAACCAUAGUAACGAGUUUUUACGGCAGUCUUGCGCUACCGUACCGACCUUUGACCAGUUUCAACUUUACCGGCGUCCUCUUGCCUCUGACAUCUUUGCUUCCAACAUGAUUUGGCGUUGCUGCAUAUGCUACAUAUUUGUGGCAUUGACUCUGAGACAACUUUUGAGUCACAUUAACACCAUGCACAGCCGCAACCCUGACUUUGCGUCGUGUGCGGGAUUGAUGGCUGUCCAAGUGAGUACAGGGUGUAUAACUCCUUUUACUAUCACGUGAAGCGGACACACGUGCAUCAUCUUCUCCGAGUUGAAGCGGCGGAGGAGGAAGGACCGACUCGCCACGGUUUACCUGGAGCAGGUGAAUGGACAGCCGCAAACGACCAAACUAAUGCAAACCCUGUGGCUGAAACGGAGGGCUCAAGCAUUGUCAUUCCAGCGAGUGGAUUUCAAGAAGAUGGAGAGGGUCUCACGAAUGUUGACCUUUCUAAACAUGCAACUGCAUUUCUUCUUCAAGCCAGAGAAACCCAUCGACUGACACAGAGAGCUGUUAACCAUAUGGUGAGUGGAGUCCAGCAAUAUCAGGCCGCAUUAUUGGAGCACCUAAAACUGCAAAUGAACGAUAUGAUUGAGAGACAUUCUGGGGACCUGGAUCAACUAAAGAGUGAUGCAAUGGGGAUAUUUGACCAGUUUGUUGACCCUUUCUGUCAAAUUGCUUCCACCCAUUUGCAGGAUAAGACCAUCAAAGAACUGUUAAAACCAGUUGAACCAGAGAUUGUUGUCGCAAAACAAACAGUAUGUUAUGUGAAACAUGGAGACUCCAGAGUUCUUACCAUUAAGGACCAUUGUUUUCAUUAUAUACCGUUGGUGAAAAGUUUGGAGCAGCUGCUAUCACAUCCAAGAACAAUUGCAAUGAUUGAUG